CGUCCGUUCGUCCGUUCGUUCGUCCGUCUGUCCCGCUUCAGGUUAAAGUUUUUGGUCAAGGUUGUUUUUGAUGAAGUUGAAGUCCAAUCAACUUGAAACUUAGUAUACAUGUGCCCUAUGAUAUGAUCUUUCUAAUUUAAUGCCAAAUUAGAGUUUUGACCCCAAUUUUACGGUUCACUGAUAGAAAAUGAUAGUGCAAAUUUCAGGUUAAAGUUUUUGGCUUCAGGUUAAAGUUUUUUGGUCAAGGUAGUUUUUGAUGAAGUUGAAGUCCAAUCAACUUGAAACUUAGUAUACAUGUGCCCUAUGAUAUGAUCUUUCUAAUUUAAAUGCCAAAUUAGAGUUUUGACCCCAAUUUUACGGUUCACUGAACAUAGAAAAUGAUAGUGCAAAUUUCAGGUUAAAGUUUUUGGCUUCAGGUUAAAGUUUUUGGUCAAGGUAGUUUUUGAUGAAGUUGAAGUCCAAUCAACUUGAAACUUAGUAUACAUGUGCCCUAUGAUAUGAUCUUUCUAAUUUAAAUGCCAAAUUAGAGUUUUGACCCCAAUUUUACGGUUCACUGAACAUAGAAAAUGA
rnacentral:lncRNA from 1 species